rnacentral:rRNA from 1 species
UAGUGUAUUGGACUACCAUGGCAGUCACGGGUAACGGGGAAUUAGGGUUCGAUUCCGGAGAGGGAGCCUGAGAAACGGCUACCACAUCUAAGGAAGGCAGCAGGCGGGUAAAUUACCCAAUCCCGACUCGGGGAGGUAGUGACAAGAAAUAACAACUCGAGAGGAUUUCCUCUACGAGAUUGCAAUGAGAACAAUUUAAAUCACUUAACGAGGAACAAUUGGAGGGCAAGUCUGGUGCCAGCAGCCGCGGUAAUUCCAGCUCCAAUAGCGUGCGCAAAAGUUGUUGCAGUUAAAAAGCUGGUAGUUGAACUUCUGGUCACACACUGGCUUGGCUUCAGUCGGCUUGUUGUGUGAUCAUCCGUCUGCAAAAAUAUGUCUUCCUUAAUUGGUUAGCGUGAGAGAGCAGACAAUUUACCUUGAAAAAAUUAGAGUGUUUCAGGCAGGUAAUCGCCGGAAUACAUUAGCAUGGAAUAAUGGAAUAGGACUUGUCUCCUUUGUUGGUUCAAGGAUUCGAGUAAUGAUAAAUAGGAACAGUUGGGGGCAUUAGUAUUUAAUUGUCAGAGGUGAAAUUCUUGGAUUUAUUAAAGACUAACUUAUGCGAAAGCAUCUGCCAAGGAUGUUUUCAUUAAUCAACAACGAAAGUUAGGGGGUCAAAGACGAUC